rnacentral:lncRNA from 1 species
UGGAUGAAAAGUUUAGAGGCAUGGACAGCCUUGAGAACAUCCAUCCUGACAAUAACAGGUACCCAAAUUCAGUACUGAAAUCUACACAACCCAUUAUUUGAGAGCUUAAAAUCAUGAAACUCAUCAGAAGAGAACUUACUCUGAUUUUUGGUGAUUUCUAAGUCUAUGGACUGAGCUUCCCAAAUCCUCAUGAAAAGAUCAAGCAAAGCUCAGAUCUGAGCGAGAUAGGCACCAUUGCCAUUGUGGCUGAGGCAGAGUGCCUACAUAGUAUCUACUAACUUCCAACUAGAGGCCAUGGUUUGGGCUAACACAGCGAACUCCU